rnacentral:lncRNA from 1 species
AUUCACAAGUUUUACCAGAAAUCAAAUAUAAGGACUCAGCUGUGCAUGUGAUUUUUUGCAGAGGGCAGGUUGGAAUAACUGUUGCAAUAUAGCUGUAAAGUGCUAUAUUGCCCUUUCCCCUGCCAAAAGCAAUUGUUUCCUACAAUCUCUGUCUAGCUCAGUUCUGUAGUAAGACAGGGACGCUUGGUCUCAAACAUUAUUCCUCUAAGUGUUAUUAUGAAAACUGUUAUAGUUGAUAUGUCAUCAUAAUUAGUCAUUGUCUCUUUUUUAAGGUUGUGUCCCUUUCUGCCUUAAUGCCAAUCAACAUGCUGAAGUCCUCAAAAAGUUCCUGAGAGAUCCGUUUCAAAUUCUAGUCAAGAAAGAACUGAUCAUUGAAAGGUGCUGACAGAAAGAAAGAGGCAUUACCAAGAGGGAACUCCUUGAUAAGAAUUGGAAGCGGGAGUCAAUUUGGGAGGAAAGCUGUGGCCAUAAACAUUGAAGAAGACAAGAAGAAUCUUUAUGACACUGAGACUUUCUACCACAUUACGGUGGAGGAAAUGCCAAAGACUGUGGCUGACCU